CCUACGGGUGGCAGCAGUGAGGAAUAUUGGUCAAUGGACGAGAGUCUGAACCAGCCAAGUAGCGUGAAGGAUGACUGCCCUAUGGGUUGUAAACUUCUUUUAUAUGGGAAUAAAAUGUUCCACGUGUGGGAUUUUGUAUGUACCAUAUGAAUAAGGAACGGCUAACUCCGUGCCAGCAGCCGCGGUAAUACGGAGGAUCCGAGCGUUAUCCGGAUUUAUUGGGUUUAAAGGGAGCGUAGGUGGAUUGUUAAGUCAGUUGUGAAAGUUUGCGGCUCAACCGUAAAAUUGCAGUUGAAACUGGCAGUCUUGAGUACAGUAGAGGUGGGCGGAAUUCGUGGUGUAGCGGUGAAAUGCUUAGAUAUCACGAAGAACUCCGGUUGCGAAGGCAGUUCACUGGACUGCAACUGACACUGAGGCUCGAAAGUGUGGGUAUCAAACAGGAUUAGAUACCCCAGUAGUC
rnacentral:rRNA from 1 species